GAUCAUGGCUCAGGAUGAACGCUGGCGGCGCGCCUAACACAUGCAAGUCGAACGGCACCUAUCUUCAGAUAGAAGCGAGUGGCGAACGGCUGAGUAACACGUGGAGAACCUGCCCCCUCCCCCGGGAUAGCCGCCCGAAAGGACGGGUAAUACCGGAUACCCCGGGGUGCCGCAUGGCACCCCGGCUAAAGCCCCCGACGGGAGGGGAUGGCUCCGCGGCCCAUCAGGUAGACGGCGGGGUGACGGCCCACCGUGCCGACAACGGG
rnacentral:rRNA from 1 species